GGGUUGGGAACUGUAUGUCCACAUGUCAUGUUCACAUUCAAAAGCGUUCCAGUAAAAAGCUAAUCAGUGUUUUUCCCCUUCACUGUAGAAACACUGUUUACAGUGUGAUGGACCAGAAACAGUUUUACAGUCUUGCUCACAGUGAACAAAAUAUCCAUGAAACACACAAGAGCCUUCUGAACAGAAACACAACGGCGAAAAGCCCAGAUAAAAAGGGGGGAAAUAAAAGAAGCACAAAAUCCCUGUUUCUAAUCUCUGCGAUCUUCAGGGUCAGUGAAAGUUCAAUUCUUCAGUUGUUUGUUAUUAUCAGCUGAGAUUUCCUGUUUUAGAGCUGAUGUCGGUGCAGAAGAGCUUUUCAGACCGGAUACAAGGUUUGGAGACUUGUUCUGUGGGACGCUGCGUGUUCACAUUCGUGGAUAAUACAGAAACAAUCCAUCAUUUUGUUGGGAGGUAAAGUUUGUCUGUUCAGAAAAUGUACGCGUUGUGGAAAUGUGUUCAGUGACUGCACGCUGUGUGAAAACCACGUGAAGUGUGUGAACGGUGUGGCCACAAAAGACCGAUGCCGUGCUCAUCGUGUGCAGAGUUUUGAACAUGUGACCACUGGUUGGACCAACGCUGGUGAGCGACUGAACCCAACUGUGAUCAUGGGUUCACUGGUCCGACAGCUCCGUCUACUGGCUCGACCGGGUAUUGAACCAACAAUGGCGCACGGCACACAUGAGAGUGAACGAGCUGCGUCGCAUUAAACACGAUGGAGAAACCAAACUUACUUCGUGCUUCCUCUCAACACUCGGAGCAGAAGAAUGGAAACACACUCCGAACAGAAACCAGCUUCGUCACAGGCGAAGCGUCCCGGAAGUCCCCCACAGGGCUUUUCUGAUCUAACCGACAACACAUUCAAACUGCACUUCUGUGCACACGUGAGCCACUAACGAGAGAAUAAACACAGAUCACCUAAAAAGACAUUCGUGUUCCGGUGACGCUGCAGGUUUUCUGGAGGACGCUCGGGACAGAGGUCACACGAGGACACGAGACACAGAAACAAAAGUAGGUCUUGAAUAAGCUUUUGGUUUUCUCUUGUGAUAAGUCUCCGUUGUUCCAUCCACAAAGUUCACAGCCCACGUUUACAUAUGUUUCUAACAGGCAAAUAUUUUUCAUGAGAUCAUCGCAUCAUAUAUUUUCCUUUAGACAUUUAUGCAGCGUCUUUGGUGCAGGACGUCUUUUGUUGGACGCCAGAGGAAUGUGGACAAACGAGGAGGACAAGAAGC